AUGCAUUGGGUAUCCUGGAAGGAGUUAUCUAAACCCAAGUGCGAGGGGGGGAUGGGGUUUCGCGACCCGCAUCUGUUUAACCUAGCUAUGUUGGGCAAGCAUGGGUGGCGUUUUAUCACCAACCCAAAUUCGCUUUGUGCGAGAGUACUCAAGGGCCAUUACUUUCCGGAUACUGAUUUCAUGCACGCUUCAGUUCCCAAGUCAGCCUCGGCAACUUGGAAGGCGAUUGUGGCCGGAAAGGACGCCCUGAGGACAGGGUUAAUCUCCAGAGUGGGAGAUGGUUCUACUAUAUUGGUUUGGGAGGACAAAUGGAUCCCAGGUACGAUCACAAUGACUCCAGCUCUGAGACCAACAAAUACAAACAUUGAGAGGGUGUCGGACCUCAUUGACACACGGACUUGGUCUUGGAAGAUCGAUUUGAUCAGGGAUACUUUCACGGCUCAAGAUGCCGCGGCUAUCCUUAAUAUCCCUGUCAGGCAAGGCGGUGGUGAUGAUUUUCUUGCAUGGGCAUUUGACAUAUCAGGUAACUACACUGUCAAGACGGCGUACCGUGCUCUCGUGACUCAGAACGAGCGUUUGGCUCUAUAG
rnacentral:rRNA from 1 species